UAUUUCUGUGUGUAUCCAUUCA
rnacentral:siRNA from 1 species